rnacentral:rRNA from 1 species
GGUCCCGCCUGCCCAGUGACAUUCUAGUUCAACGGCCGCGGUAUUUUGACCGUGCAAAGGUAGCGUAAUCACUUGUCUUUUAAAUGAAGACCCGUAUGAAUGGCAUGACGAGGGCUUAACUGUCUCCUUUCCCAAGUCAGUGAAAUUGACCUCCCCGUGCAGAGGCGGGGAUACACCCAUAAGACGAGAAGACCCUAUGGAGCUUUAGACAUAAGGACAUACUAUGUUAAAUACACCCUGUUAAGGGCUUGAACCAUAUAGAAUCUGCCCCACUGUCUUCGGUUGGGGCGACCAUGGGGAACACAAAACCCCCACGCGGGAAGGGGAGCACACCCCAAAACUUCUUUCCCUCCCACAAACCAGGGCGACAGCCCUAAUCAGCAGAAAUUCUGACCUAAGUGAUCCGGUAAUACCGAUCAACGAACCAAGUUACCCUAGGGAUAACAGCGCAAUCCCCUUCUAGAGCCCGUAUCGACAAGGGGGUUUACGACCUCGAUGUUGGAUCAGGACAUCCUAAUGGUGCAGCCGCUAUUAAGGGUUCGUUUGNNCAACGA